rnacentral:rRNA from 1 species
UACAGAGGGGGCAAGCGUUAUUCGGAAUUAUUGGGCGUAAAGAGCUCGUAGGCGGCUUGUUGCGUCGUCCGUGAAAACCUGUGGCUCAACUACAGGCUUGCGGUCGAUACGGGCGGGCUGGAGUUCGGUAGGGGAGACUGGAAUUCCUGGUGUAGCGGUGAAAUGCGCAGAUAUCAGGAAGAACACCCGUGGCUAAGGCGGCUCUCUAGUACGGUACUGACGCUGAGACGCGAAAGCGUGGGGAGCGAACAGG